GGAAACACUAACAAUACCUCGGAGAUACCACAAAUUAGUUCGAAAGACUAAUCCACCGCCACUGUCACCAUCACAAACAGAAGAACCUGAAAUAUACAAUGCUCAUCUCUAACCCCAAGCUCGAGGCUCUUCUGCAGCUACAUUACUAUUCGACUUUGGUAUUCUAACAUCAAUGUUCGGCCGAUAAUUUGGAUUGUUGACAUCCGUGGUAAUAUCGUCGGUAGAGGUGUCGGCCAUGCAUAUCCUCUACAUAAUUUCGAAUCUUCAUCGGAUCCAUCGGCGCAAUCGACCUCUC